rnacentral:tRNA from 2 species
CGGGGUGUGGCGCAGCCUGGAUAGCGCACCUGCUUUGGGAGCAGGGGGUCGUCAGUUCAAAUCUGACCACCCCGA